GUCUACGGCCACGCUACCCUGAAUAAGCCCGAUCUCAUCUGAUCUCAGAAGCUAAGCAGGAUCGGGCCCGGUUAGUACUUGGAGAGAAGAAUUUCAUUCAUUCCUCAGUGAUGUGAGCA
rnacentral:rRNA from 1 species